rnacentral:rRNA from 1 species
AUGCAAUUGGUACAGUCUAGCAAGACUGCGAUAAACAUUAACGGAGAGGUGGGACUUUUCUUUGCGGCAUCAGUGGGGGUGAAGCAAGGGGACCCGAUAUCCCCCCUUCUCUUCAACCUUGCCGUGGACGCGUUGGCAGGUAUCCUGGACAAGGCUAGGCAUGCCAACCACAUCUCGGGGGUGGUCGGCCACCUCAUUCUGGGAGGGGGGGUCACUCACCUUCAGUACACCGAUGACACCAUGAUUAUGGUGGAAGGCUCUGCCCUUGACAUAGUUAACCUUAAGUUCCUACUCCUCUGCUUUGAGGCUAUGUCGGGACUCAAGAUUAACUUUGACAAGAGCGAGGUCAUCGUUUUAGGUUACCCAACUGAGGACCAACAGAGGAUUGCGGAUAAUCUAAAUUGCAGGCUAACAUCCUUCCCCAUUACAUACUUGGGGAUGCCGUUGGCAGACUCGAAGAUCCUGACAAGUGCAUUCGACCCGCUAGUGGGACGAGUGGCCUCUCGGGCCGAGCCCUGGCGAGGACGGUUUACCUCCAAGGGGAGUAAAGCGGUCCUGAUUAGCUCGAACCUUGCGAGCCUCCCCAUGUUUAUGAUGGGGCUGUACAUUCUUCCGGAAGGCGUCCAUAGUGCCUUCGAUAAGGACCUCGCUAGGUUCUUUUGGCAGGCGGCCAAUGGCCGCCAAAAAUACCACAUGGUAAUGGGCGGAUAUCUGCAUGCCUAA